AUACGGAGGGUGCGAGCGUUGUUCGGAAUUAUUGGGCGUAAAGCGUCGUGUAGGCGGUUUGUUAAGUCUGAUGUGAAAGCCCCGGGCUCAACCUGGGAAGUGCAUUGGAUACUGGCAGACUUGAAUACGGGAGAGGGCAGUGGAAUUCCUGGUGUAGGAGUGAAAUCCGUAGAUAUCAGGAGGAACACCGGUGGCGAAGGCGGCUGCCUGGACCGAUAUCGACGCUGAGACGCGAAAGCGUGGGUAGC
rnacentral:rRNA from 1 species